GCACAGCUGAAGAGUCCCAUACUAGGACGAAACGGCCGUCCAGUGC
rnacentral:hammerhead_ribozyme from 1 species